rnacentral:rRNA from 1 species
AGAGUUUGAUCCUGGCUCUGAUAGAACGCUGGGGGUGCGUCUCUCACUGCGCGUCUCAAGGGAACAUGAUCUUUCUCGUUAGAUUGAUGGCGAGUGGCGAACGGGUGAAUAAUACAUCCGAACGUGCCCUGUAGUGGGGGAUAAUUAGUCGAAAGAUUAUUUAAUACCGCUUACCACCAACGGGUAAAGACAAUGGACCAGCCCCCUCCUGCUAUCAGAGCGAGCGAUGUCUGAUUAUCUAGUUGGUGGGGUAAAGGACCACCAACGGGAAGAUUUGUAUCUGGCAUUAGAGGACAAUACGACCCACCGGCACUGAACCACGCCCCACACUCCUCCAUGAUGGAGCAGUGGGGAAUUUUAAAAUCUGGCGAUCACCCUCAUCCUUANUGCCUCGUGUGUCAAGAACGCC